rnacentral:tRNA from 1 species
GGAAGUGUCGCAGAAAACCGNCAUUUCCUGCUGGCCUGUCACGCCAGAGGCCGCGGGUUCGAGUCCCGUCACUCCCGCCA